rnacentral:rRNA from 1 species
UGAGGAAUAUUGGUCAAUGGGCGAGAGCCUGAACCAGCCAAGUAGCGUGCAGGAUGACGGCCCUAUGGGUUGUAAACUGCUUUUAUGUGGGGAUAAAGUGCGUGACGUGUCAUGCAUUGCAGGUACCACAUGAAUAAGGACCGGCUAAUUCCGUGCCAGCAGCCACGGUAAUACGGAAGGUCCGGGCGUUAUCCGGAUUUAUUGGGUUUAAAGGGAGCGUAGGCUGUCUAUUAAGCGUGUUGUGAAAUUUACCGGCUCAACCGGUGGCUUGCAGCGCGAACUGGUCGACUUGAGUAUGCAGGAAGUAGGCGGAAUUCAUGGUGUAGCGGUGAAAUGCUUAGAUAUCAUGACGAACUCCGAUUGCGCAGGCAGCUUACUGUAGCAUAACUGACGCUGAUGCUCGAAAGUGCGGGUAUCAAACAGG